CAUGGCACGUACCCCCAACUAAUGUCACAAAGGUGUACUGUUGAACAAAAGAAGGAAGCAGAUGAGAAGCUAUGGAAGCCUCUAGAGCAUUUGGGAGGGAGAAGCAGCAGGCCAUUGGAAUUUCAUUCAUCUACUGGAUUCUCCUUGCCAAGUAAUUUCUGGGAAUUCCUCAGUCUUGCUCACAUGUUGUACUACUCUCUCCUGGAUGUCACUUGUCAACUCUACCAGCCCUCCUUUCUCCAGAUGGCUUCUUCAUAACCACCAGAGCAUGCGUAAGACCAGAUAGCAGUAUCUGAAAAAUUUCUUCAGACAGCUUGGGGAUACUGCAACACAGAAGAGGAUAAUUGACAGGUUAGCUCCACUCAUGCUUCUAGGUCUUGCCCUUUAAGAGCUGGUUUCCUUCUGGCUCUGAU
rnacentral:lncRNA from 1 species